GAUAUCAGGAUCAAAAGGUCAGAAAUCUGAAGUAAGCUUGCUUGCAAAAGGAUUUUUGACCUUGGGUCCCGCCAAAAACAUGAAUAAGUAGCCAUUUUUCGUAGAAAAAUGAGCGAAUUAUGAAUGUUUUUGAGGAUUGCAAGAGUGCAAAGCACGAAGCAAUCCGGUA
rnacentral:sRNA from 1 species